UGAACGCUGGCGGCAUGCUUUACACAUGCAAGUCGAACGGUAACAGGCCUUCGGGUGCUGACGAGUGGCGGACGGGUGAGUAAUGCAUCGGAACGUACCCAGAGGUGGGGGAUAACGCAGCAAAAGCUGUGCUAAUACCGCAUGUGAUCUGAGGAUGAAAGCGGGGGACCGAGCAGCAAUGUUUGGCCUCGCGCCUUUGGAGCGGCCGAUGUCGGAUUAGCUAGUUGGUGGGGUAAAGGCCUACCAAGGCGACGAUCCGUAGCUGGUCUGAGAGGACGACCAGCCACACUGGGACUGAGACACGGCCCAGACUCCUACGGGAGGCAGCAGUGGGGAAUUUUGGACAAUGGGCGCAAGCCUGAUCCAGCAAUGCCGCGUGCGGGAAGAAGGCCUUCGGGUUGUAAACCGCUUUUGGCAGGAACGAAACGGUGUCCGCUAAUACCGGGCGCUAAUGACGGUACCUGCAGAAUAAGCACCGGCUAACUACGUG
rnacentral:rRNA from 1 species